rnacentral:rRNA from 1 species
CCCCCGCCAUGGGGAAUCUUCCGCAAUGGGCGAAAGCCUGACGGAGCAAUACCGCGUGAGGGAGGAAGGCUCUUGGGUUGUAAACCUCUUUUCUCAGGGAAGAACACAAUGACGGUACCUGAGGAAUCAGCAUCGGCUAACUCCGUGCCAGCAGCCGCGGUAAUACGGAGGAUGCAAGCGUUAUCCGGAAUGAUUGGGCGUAAAGCGUCCGCAGGUGGCUGUGUAAGUCUGCUGUCAAAGAGCAAAGCUCAACUUUGUAAAGGCAGUGGAAACUACACGGCUAGAGUGCGUUCGGGGCAGAGGGAAUUCCUGGUGUAGCGGUGAAAUGCGUAGAGAUCAGGAAGAACACCGGUGGCGAAGGCGCUCUGCUUGGCCGCAACUGACACUGAGGGACGAAAGCUAGGGGAGCGAAUGGGAUUAGAUACCCCAGUAGUCCUAGCUGUAAACGAUGGAUACUAGGCGUGGCUUGUAUCGACCCGAGCCGUGCCGUAGCUAACGCGUUAAGUAUCCCGCCUGGGGAGUACGCACGCAAGUGUGAAACUCAAAGGAAUUGACGGGGGCCCGCACAAGCGGUGGAGUAUGUGGUUUAAUUCGAUGCAACGCGAAGAACCUUACCAAGGCUUGACAUGUCGCGAACUCUUCUGAAAGGAAGAGGUGCCUUCGGGAGCGCGAACACAGGUGGUGCAUGGCAGUAG